CGCUAGCUACAGGCUUAACACAUGCAAGUCGAGGGGCAGCAUGGUCUUAGCUUGCUAAGGCCGAUGGCGACCGGCGCACGGGUGAGUAACACGUAUCCAACCUGCCGUCUACUCUUGGACAGCCUUCUGAAAGGAAGAUUAAUACAAGAUGGCAUCAUGAGUCCGCAUGUUCACAUGAUUAAAGGUAUUCCGGUAGACGAUGGGGAUGCGUUCCAUUAGAUAGUAGGCGGGGUAACGGCCCACCUAGUCUUCGAUGGAUAGGGGUUCUGAGAGGAAGGUCCCCCACAUUGGAACUGAGACACGGUCCAAACUCCUACGGGAGGCAGCAGUGAGGAAUAUUGGUCAAUGGGCGAGAGCCUGAACCAGCCAAGUAGCGUGAAGGAUGACUGCCCUAUGGGUUGUAAACUUCUUUUAUAAAGGAAUAAAGUCGGGUAUGGAUACCCGUUUGCAUGUACUUUAUGAAUAAGGAUCGGCUAACUCCGUGCCAGCAGCCGCGGUAAUACGGAGGAUCCGAGCGUUAUCCGGAUUUAUUGGGUUUAAAGGGAGCGUAGAUGGAUGUUUAAGUCAGUUGUGAAAGUUUGCGGCUCAACCGUAAAAUUGCAGUUGAUACUGGAUAUCUUGAGUGCAGUUGAGGCAGGCGGAAUUCGUGGUGUAGCGGUGAAAUGCUUAGAUAUCACGAAGAACUCCGAUUGCGAAGGCAGCCUGCUAAGCUGCAACUGACAUUGAGGCUCGAAAGUGUGGGUAUCAAACAGGAUUAGAUACCCUGGUAGUCCACACGGUAAACGAUGAAUACUCGCUGUUUGCGAUAUACGGCAAGCGGCCAAGCGAAAGCGUUAAGUAUUCCACCUGGGGAGUACGCCGGCAACGGUGAAACUCAAAGGAAUUGACGGGGGCCCGCACAAGCGGAGGAACAUGUGGUUUAAUUCGAUGAUACGCGAGGAACCUUACCCGGGCUUAAAUUGCAGAUGAAUUACGGUGAAAGCCGUAAGCCGCAAGGCAUCUGUGAAGGUGCUGCAUGGUUGUCGUCAGCUCGUGCCGUGAGGUGUCGGCUUAAGUGCCAUAACGAGCGCAACCCUUGUUGUCAGUUACUAACAGGUUCCGCUGAGGACUCUGACAAGACUGCCAUCGUAAGAUGUGAGGAAGGUGGGGAUGACGUCAAAUCAGCACGGCCCUUACGUCCGGGGCUACACACGUGUUACAAUGGGGGGUACAGAGGGCCGCUACCACGCGAGUGGAUGCCAAUCCCCAAAACCUCUCUCAGUUCGGACUGGAGUCUGCAACCCGACUCCACGAAGCUGGAUUCGCUAGUAAUCGCGCAUCAGCCACGGCGCGGUGAAUACGUUCCCGGGCCUUGUACACACCGCCCGUCAAGCCAUGGGAGCCGGGGGUACCUGAAGUGCGUAACCGCGAGGAGCGCCCUAGGGUAAAACUGGUGA
rnacentral:rRNA from 1 species